rnacentral:lncRNA from 1 species
GAAUCGUAUGUCCAAACUAGACAUCGAAAAGUGCCAAGGAAUGUUGAUAUUUCAGAAAGUACUGAAAAUUAUGAAGGCAAUCUAUCAAUCUUCAUGCAGUCCGGUCGACCAAUAGGAAAAGGGACAACCAGAUAUCUUAUGGAGGAUGAGUAUAAAGCAGCACAAGUGUACAUAUUAUUAAAUUUUCCAGAAGUGAAAC